UACGGAGGAGGCAAGCGUUAUCCGGAAUCAUUGGGCGUAAAGAGCAUGUAGGUGGAUCAAUUAGUCUGCUGUGAAAGUCAAAGGCUCAACCUUUGAAAGCCGGUGGAUACUGUUGAUCUAGAGUACGGAAGAGGCGAGUGGAAUUCCUGGUGUAGCGGUGGAAUGCGCAGAUAUCAGGAGGAACACCAAUAGCGAAGGCAGCUCGCUGGGACGUUACUGACACUGAGAUGCGAAAGCGUGGGGAGCAAACAGG
rnacentral:rRNA from 1 species